rnacentral:lncRNA from 1 species
UACAGAAUCUGUAUUGCUUGUUUUUGGAGAUUAAAGCUUAGGCUUUCUACUCCGCUUGAAUUUAACUAGUGAUUAGAAGACAUAAAAUCUUCAUCACAAGUUAAGAUUCACUCGGUUGACGAUUCGAAGUAAUAAAAACUUCAUCGUUAACUAGAAACAAGAAGAAGAGUUUCAAGUUACUUAACUUUAUAAAUAGUAUUCUGAAAAAUACUAAGUUUUCUGUCUUGUGGUGACAGGAAAAAUGACAACUGAAAGUCAAAUGAUGGAUGCGACAACGUCUAUGGGGGCAAAUAAUAUUGCCACAUCAAGUCGCACAAAUGCUCC